rnacentral:rRNA from 1 species
UGCAAGUCGAGCGAGCGGAACCAACAGAUUUACUUCGGUAAUGACGUUGGGAAAGUGAGCGGCGGAUGGGUGAGUAACACGUGGGGAACCUGCCCCUAAGUCUGGGAUACCAUUUGGAAACAGGUGCUAAUACCGGAUAAUAAAGCAGAUCGCAUGAUCAGCUUUUGAAAGGCGGCGUAAGCUGUCGCUAAGGGAUGGCCCCGCGGUGCAUUAGCUAGUUGGUAAGGUAACGGCUUACCAAGGCGACGAUGCAUAGCCGAGUUGAGAGACUGAUCGGCCACAUUGGGACUGAGACACGGCCCAAACUCCUACGGGAGGCAGCAGUAGGGAAUCUUCCACAAUGGACGCAAGUCUGAUGGAGCAACGCCGCGUGAGUGAAGAAGGUUUUCGGAUCGUAAAGCUCUGUUGUUGGUGAAGAAGGAUAGAGGUAGUAACUGGCCUUUAUUUGACGGUAAUCAACCAGAAAGUCACGGCUAACUAC